ensembl:rRNA 5_8S_rRNA 5.8S ribosomal RNA
AACUCUUAGCGGUGGAUCACUCGGCUCGUGCGUCGAUGAAGAACGCAGCUAGCUGCGAGAAUUAAUGUGAAUUGCAGGACACAUUGAUCAUCGACACUUUGAACGCACUUGCGGCCCCGGGUUCUUCCCGGGGCUACGCCUGUCUGAGCGUCG